rnacentral:rRNA from 1 species
AGCGAACGCUGGCGGCAGGCCUAACACAUGCAAGUCGAACGAACUCUUCGGAGUUAGUGGCGGACGGGUGAGUAACACGUGGGAACGUGCCUUUUGGUUCGGAAUAACUCAGGGAAACUUGUGCUAAUACCGAAUGUGCCCUUCGGGGGAAAGAUUUAUCGCCAUUAGAGCGGCCCGCGUCUGAUUAGCUAGUUGGUGAGGUAACGGCUCACCAAGGCGACGAUCAGUAGCUGGUCUGAGAGGAUGACCAGCCACACUGGGACUGAGACACGGCCCAGACUCCUACGGGAGGCAGCAGUGGGGAAUCUUGCGCAAUGGGCGAAAGCCUGACGCAGCCAUGCCGCGGGAAUGAUGAAGGUCUUAGGAUUGUAAAAUUCUUUCACCGGGGACGAUAAUGACGGGACCCGGAGAAGAAGCCCCGGCUAACUUCGU